CCUGAGUGCUCAGUCAACCCACCAGCCGGCACUUGGGCACUAAACAGGUUGAUUAGCAGGUCCACCUGGAAAGGAGUCGGGUUUCCCGAAAGAGCUCAGUUAGGGGAGACCCAGGAGAGGGGAAGUUUCUGUGUGUUGUGACUGGGAUGGCAGAAAUCAGGAGACUUGGGAAAAGCCUGAGAAAGCAGAAUGAGCUCCUAUGGGGCAUGACUCUUGGGAAACAAUCCUUGAGUGCUGGUGCUCAGGGGUACUGGGCUGGAACUCAGAGAAGAGAGAGGGCCUGGGUUCCCCUACCAGCCACUGGAAAAGGUGAUGUGAAGACCCUGGAGAGCCUGAGACCUGGUUGGAGGGCUGAGUCAUGAGAGGAAGCAGACCACUGCAGGGCUGGAGUGACCGCCAGCAGGGGGUGCUAGAUGAAGAGAGCCUGCUAUGUUAUGCCCAGCUGUGAGGAGGUGAAUCAGGAUCAACGUUAAUCACAAGAGAUUAAAGUGACUCUACAGGGUUCGGUAGAUUGAAUAACUCAGGAAGAGAAACUUCCAUCACGUUUGAAAAAAACAAAACCACACACCAACACUUUCUGCCUAUCAGCUGUAACACUCCGUCCGGAAGAAAGUAAUGGAAGUCUUUGAUUUUCUAUGGACUCCAACCAAACAUGACAAUCCAAGGGACUUUCAAGAUGCCAGCAUUUAACUUAUACUCCUCACCCCACCCCAAUGAAAUAACUCUAAACCUAAUCUUUGAUCUUUCAUGGUUGGUAUAACAUUGAAUAAAUGACUAUGAAAAACUGUUUUAGCUAAGACAUUUAGAAAAAACAUUUUACUGAAAGAAGUUACAAACUUUUGUU